rnacentral:rRNA from 1 species
UACGUAGGGGGCAAGCGUUGUCCGGAAUUAUUGGGCGUAAAGAGCUCGUAGGCGGUCUGUCGCGUCGGCUGUGAAAACCCGGGGCUCAACCCCGGGCCUGCAGUCGAUACGGGCAGACUAGAGUGCGGUAGGGGAGACUGGAAUUCCUGGUGUAGCGGUGAAAUGCGCAGAUAUCAGGAGGAACACCGGUGGCGAAGGCGGGUCUCUGGGCCGAUACUGACGCUGAGGAGCGAAAGCGUGGGGAGCGAACAGG